UCCGGAUCAGGCAUUCCUUGUUGAGAAAGACCGAAAUCAGCUACUUUGGCCACGUAAUGUUCAUCAAGUAAGAUGUUUGUAGACUUAACAUCACGGUGAAAGAUUCCUCCAUCUGGACCAGUAUGGAGGUAAUGGAGACCUUUUGCUGAGCCAAUACAGAUUUCAAGCCUUUGUUUCCAAGUCAAUUCAGUUUUUGCAGAUGGAUUCUUUAGGCACUCCUUCCUGCUGUAUAAGUGGUCCCUCAAAGUCCCCUUUUCCAUGAAUUCAAAAACCAAUAUCAUCUCCGAUCCUUCAUCGCAGUAGCCAACCAAGGAAACAAGAUGCCGAUGUUGAAUCUUUGAAAGGACCAUGACCUCAGUUCGGAACUCUGGAAGACCCUGGCCAUGACUUGAAUCGCUUCGUUUCACUGCCACCUUCAUACCAGUCUCAAGAGUUCCUUUAUAAACUUUGCCAAACCCACCCUCACCAAUCAACAACUUUGGAUUGAAAUUAUGAGUCGCAGCCAGUAUUUCAGCUAAAGACAUCUUCAGUUUGAGGUUUAAAUUAGUAACGUUGGAGGCAUUUUCAGUUCUUUCAGUUAUCCAACUGGGAGACCUCCCUUUUCCAUAAAGAAACUCAGCUUUUACGGGCUUUGGUCGCUUUAAUCUCAAACAUAAUGAGAAUAAUAAAAUCAAAACCAAGGCUAGAGUCCCACCUCCAGCUGAACCAAUUGUGCGAGCUAGAUGCUUUUUUGGCUCAUGUUCAACAGGCACUACAAUUGUCGUGUUCCCCACAAACUCCAUGAUCUCCAGUCCAUUCAGAAAAGCAACUUUCUUAAUAGAAUUAUUUCCUGGGGCUAUCCUAAAACUCAUAUAUCCGGAAUCAUCAGAAGGAACCACAAAAUCGUAGAAAAAUGGAGAUGCCAUUUCACUAACCCCAUUAGGAUUAGGAUCGAUCUCAUGACUGAAAUUGGUAGAUAUAUAGAGAUCAAAUUUCACAGUACCUGGUGAAUCACUGAAAAAGUCACAAAAGUGCAGACGAACAAGAUGCCUAGCUUUCUUGCUCACGUUAAAACGCCAAGUUAUAUUUGGAAAAUUGGAUGCCCCUUUAUUAUCUACACUCGCUUCUUUGUAAGUUUUGUACACAGAAUCAGGGGCGAUUUCUUGGACAAUCAACCCUUGACUGGCCUCAUGAAGUUCACCACCAAAAAUACGGUUUGCACCCGAACCCCCGAAAGUUAGAUAAUCAUCAUCUGGUACCCAAUUCCUCCACAGGGUAUCGUUAACUUCUGGACCUCCAACAUUGAUCCUAUAAAGUGUCCUAAGAAGUCCAUCUUCGGUCCGUAAAGGAGGAGUUGUUGAAUUAUCCAAGAAGAAAUUUGGUGGGAGAAGAAAGGCUUCUAUGGCAUUCACGAAAGCAUAAGAUGUUUCUUCAGCUGGUUUAAAGUAGAUUUUGAAUUUUCCUGCAGCAAUCGUGAGAAAGAACUCCUUGAUCACUGGGAACUCAGUAGUACUGUUCGGGACUCUAAAAUCUGUUAAAAGUGAAAAAUUUGAAGCAGACACAUUGAACAAAGCAUCAGCAAGAUGAGUCCUUUUGAAGCUGAAUGGAAAGAAAUGAAGGCGGACAAGGUAGGAACCAUUUUGAGUGAUAUCAAGCAUAUACGGGGUUAAUUUCGUAUAGAUUCUGGCUGUAUGAUAUAGGAGUGAUAUGCCGGGUAAAGGGUUUUCAUUUUGGAUAGAUUUGCUUUUUCCUACAGAGAAGGAAGAGUUAGAAUUGUCAUCACCAACAAAAGUCCGCGGGUAACCGUCAAGAUCAUCGACAUCGGUGCCUGAUCCGCAGUUCAUGAAGUACUUAACCGGAGGAUUGUAAGAUACUGAGGAUGAAAGAAGAGAAAGAAGAAGAAGAAGAAGAAGAAGAAAGAGUGGAUGAAGAGAGAACUCCAUAGAAAUUGGAUGAGGAUAUUUGAUGCUUUUCUUUGAAUGGAGGAAAGGGUGUCAGGAGCGGAGGAUAUGAGGGAGUACUGGCAAGUUUGAAAUUUCAGAGGAAGACUUGUUGACUUGUAUCUGUCACUCUCUGUACAGGUGUUGACAAGAGCAGUUUUUAUGGCCAACGAAAAGAGAUUAACCAAUUGAAUGAAGGAGAAGAAAAGUCACAUUCUUUCAUAACCAAAAAGUAUAGAAUCUCGAUGACUGUUCUCAUUCAUUGCUUGACCCAGUUUGCGAGUGUCUUUCUAACUAUGCUUGAUCAUUUAAUUUGUCCCUGUCGUUAUAGAAUCUUUUAAAAACAAACUAACAAAUACAUGAAGAAACAAUAAUUGACCGUUCUCGUUGACUGUUCUCAUUCCUUGCUUCUUACGGUUUGGGACUAAUUUUCUAAUUUUGUUUGGACAUGUUUUAAAAGUAUGUUUAUUUUAUAAAAAUAUUAAAUUAAUAUUUUUAUUUUAAUAUUUUUUAAUUAUCUUGAUAUGUUAAAAUUAAAAAUAUAAAAUAUUUAAAAGAUAUUAUUUUAAUAUAUUUUUAACUAAUAAAAAAAAUACUUUACACACCUAGAACAUAUUCAACAAAAUCAUGGUCAUUUGUUAUUCAAUGUUCUAGUAAUCUAUCCCCCACUUCAGCCUUUUCUUUUGCGAACAUAUCUUGAAGGCUUAAUUAAAACUUGUCCCUAUAAAUUAUCAUAAUCAAUUGAUUAGUUAGUGUGUGUAUAUAUAUAACAACGAAAAUGAAGGUAGUGUUUGUAAUUACUGUAGCAGUUGCUUUUCAAAAUGUUUUUUUACUUGUAAAUGCACUAAAAUAGUUUUUUUAAAAAAAUUAUUUUUAACAUCAACACGUUAAAACGAUCCAAAAUACACAAAAAAAUUAAUAUAAAACAAAAUAAAAAAAAAUAUUUUUUUUGAAAAGUGUAGCAUGGCCACGUAAACAAACAUAGUCGAAAUUGACUAAAGAAAACUAAGUUAUUAAUAGAUUCAAAACUGCAAGGACUAAUUUUGACAUUUAUAAGGAUUACUUUUUUUUUUUAAGAAUACAUAACUUUCAUUAAUCAGAAUGAAGCUUUUGUACAAUCUAUCUUAGUAGUUGAGAAAAUAACAGACAUAUGUUCUAUCUACAAAUCUAGCUAACUUUGCUAAAGAAUGAAUAUGGUUACUGUUAUGUCUUGCAAAACAACUAGUAAGAGACUAUAUCGUUGAUAUAUGCUACGCUGUGGGUUGGAUUAAGUUUUUUUUUACAAAAAAAAGAAACAUUUAGGUACUGUUAAUGUUUUUCUAAUAGAAAAAAAAAUUAAAUUGUGCGAAGAUUAAGUCAAUGUGAUCUAAUCUACUUGUUGAGUCCAAAAGCAACUUGAUUAAAAGAUGAAGAUAGAAAAAAAUUAAUUUAAAAAUAGGACACAAUAAAACGACUUGAUUCUACUAGGGUUAACCCACAAAACAGGUGACCCAAGUCAUGAAAUUAGAAUAACCACUACUAGAAAUUUGCUUAAAACCAACGGAAUUACCGAUGGAAUAAUUCUGUCGGUAAUUUGCGGUGAUAAUUACCGACGGACACUAUUCCGUCUGUAAUUUAGUCGAUAUAUACUGACAAAAUUAUAGACGAAAUAUUCAGAAUUGAAAAAAAAAGCGGUUCACUGACGUGGAACUUUUUGCGGGCGAUUUUACCGACGGAAUCACUGAGGGAUUCAAAUCGGGAUCUUCGUAUAGUGACAUGACCAAUUCACCGUCAGACUUGCCGAUGGAAUCACCGACAGAAGUAUUCCGUCGACGACGCCGUCGGUAAAAGUGAAUAUAUCACCACUCUGCCGACCCUCUCCUCUCCUAUUUCUCAUUCUUCUUCCUUAUCCCAACUCUCCCCUCCCAAACUGCAAACAACCAGCCCCCCCAAAAAAAAUCUCCCUCUUCUCAGCACAAGUCAUAUUUCUUUAAGUUUUGUGGUCACAGCAUCCGUGUUGUGAUUUAUUAUGGAUUUUAUUAUUUUUUGUAAGUAAAUCUAUCUUUUUUAAUUUUAACAUUUAAAUGUCAAUUUUAUUGUUUUUUUAGUAUAUGUAUUUUGUUAGUGAAUGUACAUGUUUUAUUGUUAUUUCUCAAACAAACUUGUAGUAUAUGAAUGCAUAAUUUUGUACUUGUUAUGGUUUGUUUUAGAUUUUGUAAAAUUGUAUUUGUUUGUAAAUUGUUGAAACUUCGUUGAAUUACUGAAUUACAUGUGUUGUGGUGAAAUAAUUAAUAGCUUGUUUAACGGGUCUGUUUUAAUUUUUAUCAAUGCUAUUGCGAAGUUGUAAUUUUUGUAAAUUUAUAUGUAUAAAUUUGUAUGGACGUUGAUAAUUGAUAAUGAAUAUUUAUGAGAAGUUGUAAUUAGCUUGUUGGAUAAUCUCGAGGUAAACCAAUAUUUUUACAAAUUUAUUUACCUAACAUAGUUAAUUAAUACAUGUUUUCAUCAUAAUUUUAUAGAGGUUCGAUAGAAGUUAUGGAUGAUCGUUCAUGGAUGUAUCGAGAUUCACCUCAAGGAUUGCGAAGGAUGAAUUAUUGUAACGGAGUUCAAGGUUUUAUUAAUUUCGUAACAUCUAUUCCCAGAAAUUUUACUGGAGGCGGUAUUAGGUGUCCAUGCAAGAAGUGUGAAAAUAAAAAGUAUCUGCAUCCAAAUGUUGUAAUGAUGCAUCUUCUACACAAAGGGUUUAUGGAGAAUUACCUGUAUUGGUAUGCACACAGAGAAGUAUUUAUUCGUAAUAAGAGCAUGGGAGAAAGGGUGGUUGGGUCAACUUCUAGUGCUAGCAACGUGCAUGAAGUUACAAAUGACAAUAGUAAUCCUUACAUGAAUAUGGUUAUGAAUGCAAUGAGAAUGAAUCAAGGUAAUGUCAAUCAAUGUCCAACUGUAGAAGAAGAACCUAAUGCAGAUACAGUUAGGUUUUUUGAUUUGUUAAAAUAUUCUGAUGAACCAUUAUAGGAUGGCUACACGAACCACAGUAAAUUAUCGGCUGUAGCACAGGUGUUCACCAUCAAGUCAGAUCACGGGUUGAGUGAGGCCGGGUAUGACAAAAUUAUCGAAUGGACGAGAAGCAUUUUACCUGAAGGGAAUAGGCUAAAAGAUAAUUUCUAUGCUGCGAAGUCCAUGAUGAAACCCCUCAGUUUAGGAUACCAGAAAAUUGACAUGUGCCCUAACUUCUGCAUGUUAUUCAAUUGUUAUUGGUAUGACACCACUGGCAGAGGAAUCAGAGUUGAUCCUCACUAUGGUCUGGUCGAAAUCAACUCAAAAGCUAGACUCCGUAACGUAAACAAUGUCUUUGUUUUCGCAUAGCAAUGUCAAUAAAUUUAUUACACAUAAACCCCUUCCUUUAGAAAGGAUCGGUUAAGAGUUGAUUGGUUAUCCGUUUUAAAAACAAAACCCAGGGGGCGUGUCAAGGUUGUUCAGGAUGAGAACGAAGACACAAGUGUGUUAGAUGAAGUCUUUCAAGUUAGUGAGUUGGUUGAACCAUAUCGAGUUUCUCAUUCGAUUAACUUGGAAGAAAAUUCAAAUUUUUAUGUUUUCGAUGAUAGUCUUAUUGAUGUUGACGCAGAGAAGUUGAAUAUUGUUUUGAGCUCUAGCGAAUAAGAAAAUGUCGAUGAAGAUGAUGAUAUCCAUAUUGAAGAUUGCGAAGGAGCUGAUGACUAUUCAAUUGACGACAAAGAAGAAGAAAAUUUUGACUAACUAUCAUAAUCACAUAAAGUGUAAAGCAUUUUUUUAUAAUGUAAUAUAUAUUAUGGAUGAUAUUUUAUAACACGAAAUAUUUAUUUUAUAAAUGUUAACUGUUGUUAUUGUUUUGUGCGAUGGGCAGUUUGUAAUUUAAGUUUUUUGCAAGAAAGUAAAUAGGCAAUACAAACAUAAUCUUUCAUGCACGAUGCAUGAUCACCGACGUCCAUACCGACGGAUUAUAGUCCGUUGGCAUUUCAUAGAGAGCUGCAUUGGAAAUGCCACAAUCACCGACGACUGCACAAACGAAUUACAGUCCAUCGGCAUUUCACAGAGAGCUGCACUGGAAAUGCUACAAUCACCGAUAACUUUGCAGAAGGAUUACAGUCUGUCGGCAUUGGUCGGCAGUUCACAAUUACAGAUAAAUUCACCGAUGGACGGUGCGAAUUCCAAAGGGCGGGUAUAAAAUGCAUAUUUGACCACGUGUCGUUGCCGAUAGAAUUACUGACGAACUGCAAAAAAUAUGGAGGGUAAUUAAAAUUCUGGUGCGAAAUUCAAAAUUUACUAACGGAUAUUUGAAACAUCACCCACAGAAUAAUUAAAAAUAAUAUUAUUUAAAUUGGUUGUCGGCAAUUCCGUCGGUAAAACUGUGCUAUAAAUCUCAGCGACCACUCAUUUAGUUCAUUUCUUCAUCUCCUUCAUUUCAUAGCUCUCAUUUUCGUUUUUUUCCUUCUCAUUUGCUUCAAAUCUCUUGUUUUUUGCUUGUAAUCUUUAGUUAUAUCUUCAACAAAUUAAAAGGUAUGUAUUUCCUCUACUUCAUUUGCUUUAAGAUUUUAUUUUGUUCUUUGUUCAAUAUAUUUUGUUGUUUGUAUUGCCAUAAUAAUUGAACACUUUAUUGAAUUUUAAUUGUUAUUUGUUGAAUUUACCUAGUAAUUAGUAAUUGAAUAUAUAGGAAUAAAUUUAAUUAUUUUAUCUCAAUUUUACUCUAUUAUUGCAUGAUAUGUGUUUAAGUAUUUCCAUUAAUUUUAAUUGUUAUUGUUGAAUUCACCUUUUAAUUAGUAAUUGAAUGUAUAGGAAUAAAUUUAAUUUUUUUAUCUCAAUUUUACAUUAUUAUUGCAUGAUAUAUGUUUAAUUAUUUCCUUUAAUUUUAAUUGUUAUUUGUAUAGAUGUUAGGUUAUAUACAAGAUUUUUGAAUGGGGUCAAUUGGUUGUGGCUAUUGUCAAUUGCAGGUUUGAAAAUUUUAGGUAGUCUCUAGUAUAAGGGAGGUGCUGCCGAAUUUUUUUUCAACAAUCGAAUUUAAUUAUGUAAUUAUUCGUAUAAAAGUGUGUAGAUGCGUAGAAUGAAAUCAACAGCUAGUUCUUCUAGCAGCGAGGAUGACAUGUCCUUAGGUGCCAAUCAAGAAGAGGCACAUGCGCCGUCUACCGAUGUUGUCUCUUCCAGCGCGGUUUCACAGCACAAAGGCGAUGUGCCUUCACAGCGGAAUCAAUUCACCUGCAAGUAUGAGGCACAGUGGAAGGACGACCUUUCAAUGUAAGUUUGUUUCAGUUUUAGUUUUGUUUUUUAAUUAUAACAUAAUUUAUGAACAACUAAUCAAUAUUUCAUUAAUUUAAUUUAUUUUAAGGUUCACAAACAUUGAGGCCGCCCAAGUAAUAUCAUCGGUGUUUAAAUCAUCGAUGGAGAUUUUAUUAUUUCAAUGGAGUCAGGUAUCCAGACAUCUUGAAUGGAUACCGAAUAUCGAUGCAUGGUUUGAUAAAUUUGAAGUUGGUGUUAAUUUCUAAUUUCCAGCUUAUUUUUAAUAUAAUUGUAAAUAAAUUAUUAUUUUUAUUUCAAAUAAAUUAUUUAUACACAACACAAAUUCAAGUGGGACAACACACUUGACAAUGUUGUGAGGAGGGUGUGGAAAAAUCAUGUGGCAACUAGGUAAUAUCGAAAACAAUACGAUAUUUUUUAAAAAUCUAAUUUAUCACUAUGGAAGUAGGUUGCGUGAUUUUUGGUAUGAAGCACAAAAAAAGGAAAAACAAAACGCGAGAGAUAACGGUCUUCAAGGCUGGAACGACGUGGUGAUUUGGGGGGAUUUCAAACCGCUAUACAUCCCGGCAGAUAUAUGGCCGCAAUAUAUUGAGCAUGUGACGUCUGAGCGGUUCACACACAGUCUGGUAGUGGCAACUGGAACCGGCAAAUUCAUGGUUCGGUGACAACGCACACCGGCAGCUCCGUUCUGUUUGCUGCACAUGCGAAAUGGAUGGUAAGAUUAAUUUAAAUGAAAUAUAUUGUUAAAUAAUUUGUUGUUAAUUAUUGUUUUUUGCCUUACAGGCUACGUUUCUUAGACAUGAGCCGAGCCCAAUGGAGCUGUUUGUAGAGACGCACGUGUGGAGUCAAGACCGUCAAAAGGGGGUGCAAUAGUUCGUUGACAAUCGCGCUCAACACUUUAUGGUAUGUUCGUUCAACCAUUUUAUUUUGUAAGUUAUUAUUUUUAUUGAAUUGAAUAUGAUGCUUUCUUUUUUCAGUUUCAGGAGACCUAUAAUAGCCGGUUGAGGGAGAGAUAUGGGGACAAUCCUUCAACCCAUUUGGAUUUCGAUUUGGAUUUGUGGAUGGAGGUAGGAUCGUCUGGUGGAUUCGAUUAAAAUCGAGUGUACGGGCUCUCCAACACUACGGCCGAAAACUUGCGGGCGACCCGUAGUGUCUCAACCGUUGUGAGCUCCCAAUCAAUAUCGAGCACCCAAUAUAAAGAGUUCGUGGCCUUGCAGCAAAACACGGCUCAUCUCACCGAAAAAUACGAGCAACUAUCAGCGAAUUAUGAACAAAACACGGCUCACACGACUCAUCUCACCGAGAAAUACGAGCAACUCUCAGCGAAUUAUGAACAACUUCGCCAAAUGGUCAUGAACAUGGCAUCACAGAGUGGUGAUACAUGUGCGCCCCCUUCUUGGUCAUAUGGUCUCGAGAACAACCAACCUACUUCUCCAGCUCUGCCAUUAUGCUAAUUUAAUAUUUUUUUUGAAAACACAUUCAAUUUGUAAUGAAUAUUAUUUAACUUUAUAUUUAUAUUUUUUAUGUUUAAUAAAAUUUUAUUUGCAUAAUUGGUUUUUUUACUAUUAAUUUAUAUCAUUUUAUAUUAUUUAUUCUAAAUAAUGUUUUUUAAAAAAAUUUAAAAAUACCCACCGACGGAUUUACAGAUGGAAUGUAUCCGUCGAUAUUUUACAGAGAGUUGAAAAAUAUUUACUGGGAAUGCCACAAUCACCGACGUCUUCAUCGACGGAUAGCGUCCAUCGGCAUUUUACCGAGAGCUGAAAAAUAUUUACUGGAUAUGCUAUUAUCACUGACGGAAUACAUCUGUCGAUAUAUUUCCAGCGGAAUUUUUUAUUUGUAAAACCAUUGGCAAUAUUUUUUUACCGACAGAGUUAGCGACGGAAUAUGGGAUUACCGAUGAAAUGGAUGCCGACGGACACUUUCCGUCGGUGAGUUAGUUGGUAAAAAAUUUACCGAUGAAGGAUGAAUCUCACAUCGACGGAAAGUGUCUGUUGGUAAAACUGUGAAAUCUUGUAGUGAACCUCAUAAAAAGCAAAUGAAAACAUAGCAUGAAGUCUAAUUCCUAAUCAACUCAAUGUUGAAUGAUGAAAUUGCAAAAAAAAAAAUCAAUUUAAAAAAUAUUAAAAAAACUCGAGUUAACCCACUAAACCCGAAACAUGAGUCAUGAGAUCGAGAUAACCUUAUAGAAAGCAAACUGAAAUAAAUCAUGAAGCUUAAUUUCUAAUGUUCAAAGUUGAAAAUGAAGAAAUGUCAAUUAAAAACAAUAAAAAAAACUCGAGUCAACCGGGUUAACUCGCUAAACUCGUAACACGAGUCACAAGAUUGAAAUAACCAAAUAAAAAUCAAACCACAAUAAAUUAUGAAGCUCAAUCUAUAACAAAUCAAAUAUUAAAGGAUGAAAUUAGGUAAAGUAAUAUAGAGUAAUGUUUCAUGAAAUGGUGCAUAAUAAAAGCACCAACCGUUUUAGUUUUUUGCUAAUGAAAAUAUAAAGGGAAACCUUUUUGUUUUGUUUUAUUUAAUUUGUUAAAGAACGAGUAUCAUUACUGUUAUGUCUUCCAAAAGAACUAGUAAAAGACUAUAUCGUUGAUAUAUGCUAUGCUGUGGGUUGGAUCAAAAUUUUUUUAACAAAAAAAAAAAACAUUUAGGUAUUGCUAAUGUUUUUCUAAUAGAAAAAAAAAUAAAUUGUGCGAAGAUUAACUUAAUGUGACCUGAUAUACUUGAUGAGUCCAAAAGCAACUUGAUUAAAAGAUGAAGAUGGAAAAAAUUUAAUUUAAAAAUAAGACACAAUAAAAUGACCUGAUUCUACUAGAGUUAACCCACAAAACAGGUGACCCAAGUCAUGAAAUUAGAAUAACCUCAUAAAAAACAAAUAAAAACAUAGCAUGAAGUCUAAUUCCUAAUCAACUCAAUGUUGAACGAUGAAAUUGCAAAAAAAAAAAAAUUAAUUUAAAAAAAAUUAAAAAAACUCGAGUCAAUCCGCCAAACCCGCGACAUGAGUAAUGAGAUUGAGAUAACUUUAUAGAAAAUAAACUGAAAUAAAUCAUGAAGCCUAAUUUCUAAUGUUCAAAGUUGAAAUUGAAGAAAUGUCAAUUAAAAAAUAUUUAAAAAAACUCGAGUCAACUAUGUUAACCCACCAAACUCUUAACAUGGGUCACAAGAUUGAAAUAACCAUAUAAAAAACAAACUACAAUAAAUUAUAAAAGCUCAAUCUAUAACAAACCAAAUGUUGAAGGAUGAAAUUAGAUAAAGAACCAUAAAAUAAUGUUUCGUGAAAUGGUGCAUAAUAAAAGCACCAUCCCUUUAAGUUUUUUGUUAAUGAAAAUAUUAAGGGAAACCUUUUUUGUUUUGUUUUAUUUAUUUUGUUUGAUAGAGUAAUUAGUUCAUAUUAGAUUCACGCUAUUAAAAGAAGCUCAAACACCUUAAAAAAUACUAUUCACUAGAACAGUGUAAUAACAUGUUUGCCUCUCCACCAAAAAAACUCAACACUAGCUUCAAUUGACAUUAAAAUCCUUUCACAUGGACCAUUUUUCAUUACCAAAUUGACCGGGGAUAAAUCAAUCUUUUUUCUUUUUUUAGUGCAUAGUAAAAAGGCCAAAAUACCCUUGGAGGCAAAAAAAUUUAAAACUGACAAUUAUAUUCCUAUCAAUAUAUCAAUAUUCCUUUACUCCAUUCAAUAAAUAUUUGGUUAUCUAAGAAUUUUUUCAUGAAAGAUAUGAGAUAAAUAACCUAUGUACUAUGAAUAAAGAUCUAAAGAGAUAGAUCUAUAAAGUUUCUUGGAAUCUCGCAAUCCACUUACAUAGAUAAGAUGCUAAAAUGAUUUAGAAUGGAAGAACCUAAGAGAUGAUAUUUACCUAUUUUACAUGGGAUACAUCUCUCCAAAGACAUGUGCUCUCAUACAUAAAUUGAGAGAGAUACGAUGAGAAGAAUUUCCUAUGCUUUAGCUAUAAGAUCUAUAAUAUAUGCGAUCUUAUGUACAAGACCAUAAGUAUCUUAUGUUAUGAGCAUAAAAAGUAGAUAUCAAUCUAAUUUAGAAGAACUAAGAUUGUCUUUAUGGUAUAUGGAGGAGAUGAACUAAUAGUACAUGGUUAUUAAAAUAGUAGUUUUCAAUCAGAUAAUGAUGAUAACUGUCUAAACCUAUAUUUUAACCCCCAUUAUUUUUUUUUUAUAUUUUAAAAGUAAAAAAAAUAUCUUUUCAAUAAAUCUAGUUAAUUUUAAUCAUUUUAUUAUUUUGUCACUUUUGUUUUAAUUUUUAUAUGUCAUGUUGAGUUAUAAUUAAUUAAAAAAAGAUGAAAUAAGAAAAAUAAAAAAACAAAUAAAGUAUAACAAGCCAGUAAUUGAAUUGAAAUAUGUAAAAAACAUUCAUGAAUAAUUUAGGAUGUAAUUGGAGAAAUGAUUGAAAAUAAAAUUAACAAAAACAGCGUGAUUUGGCUGUAAUUAAAAGAAUUAAAAAAAAAUCAGAGAUGAACAUGUAACAAACAUCCAACUUUAAAAGACUAAUUAAUUAAUUUAGGGAUGAAAUUGAAAAGAAAAUCCAAGAUUAAAAUCCUAAUUGAAUAAAAAUUCAAAAGAUGAAGGGCUAUAAUAGAAAAACAUUCCAGAAAUUACAUGACAUGAUUUAUAUUUCUGACUUUUCUCCAAAACUAUUUUGUUUUGUUCGUCCUCUUCCCUAGAAAAAGCAAUCAAACAUGAGUUACAAUUUCAAUUAAUUCUCAUCAAUUUAACCCUCAAAUUCUUGCAAUCAAAAUCAAAACCAAAAUUUCCAUCUCAAUUAAUCUUCUAGCCUAGAAUUUCAGCUAUUUUUCUCCAUUUAAUAGCCAAUAGCAGUGAUGAAAAAAAAAAAAAGGAACCUCCACCAUACACAACCCUCAAUCUCCUCCUUUACGAACUUUCCCUCUAGUAACCAUUUCGACCAAAACUCCCAAGGCAGUAUCCAUUGUAUCUGAGUAAUCAUCAAUUGGGAACGUAUUAGAACUCAGGUUCUGCAUAACUGGGAGUGCUGAAUCUGAUGAAACACUUGUUGUGGUGUUGUCCUCAUGUGCCUCUCUAUGCACUGCAGUCUGUUGAAGCUGCAUUGCGUAUUCUAAAUCCCAGCACACAUCAAUCAUAUUAGGCCUGUCUGCUCCUUGUGGCUUCAAACACUUCUCAACUAUUUCACCAAAUUUUCUUAGCGAAUUAGGGUUGAUGUGACCUGCUAGUAGAGGAUCAAUAAUCUUUUCAAGCUGCCCUUUCUUUUGCCAAAACAUCUCCCAUUCAGCUAAGUUUAUUUCCUCCCUCUGCUGUGAGUUUACAAUAGGGGGUCGAGCACAAAGCACUUCAAGAAGGACCACACCAAAAGAGUACACAUCUGACUUGUUGGUUAACUGAAAAGUUCUGAAAUAUUCAGGGUCAAGAUAACCAAAACUACCUUUUAAACCCACGCUUAUAUGAUCCGGAUCAGGCAUUCCUAAUUGAGAAAGACCGAAAUCAGCUACUUUGGCCACAUAAUGUUCAUCAAGUAACAUGUUUGUGGACUUAACAUCACGGUGAAAGAUUCCUCCAUCAGGACCAGUAUGGAGGUAAUGGAGACCUUUUGCUGAGCCAAUACAGAUUUCAAGCCUUUGUUUCCAAUUCAAUUCAGUUUUUGCAGAUGGAUUCUUUGAGCACUCCUUCGUGCUGUAUAAGUGGUCCCUCAAAGUCCCCUUUUCCAAGAAUUCAAAAACCAGUAUCAUCUCCGAUCCUUCAUCGCAGUAGCCAACCAAGGAAACAAGAUGCCGAUGUUGAAUCUUUGAAAGGACCAUGACCUCAGUUCGGAACUCUGGAAGACCCUGGCCAUGACUUGAAUCGCUUCGUUUCACAGCCACCUUCAUACCAGUCUCAAGAGUUCCUUUAUAAACUUUGCCAAACCCACCCUCACCAAUCAACAACUUUGGAUUGAAAUUAUGAGUCGCAGCCAGUAUUUCAGCUAAAGACAUCUUCAGUUUGAGGUUUAAAUUAGUAACGUUGGAGGAGGCAUUUUCAGUUUUUUCAGUUAUCCAACUUGGAGACCUCCCUUUUCCAUAAAGAAACUCAGCUUUUACGGGCUUUGGUCGCUUUAAUCUCAAACAUAAUGAGAAUAAUAAAAUCAAAACCAAGACUAGAGACACACCUCCAGCUGAACCAAUUCUGAGAGCUAGAUGGUUUUUUGACUCAUGUUCAUCAACAGGCACUACAAUUAUCUUGUUCCCCACAAACUCCAUGAUCUCCAGUCCAUUCAGAAAAACAACUUUCUUAAUAGAAUUAUUUCCUGGGGCUAUACUAAAACUCAUAUAUCCGGAAUCAUCAGAAGGAACCACAAAAUCGAGGAAAAAUGGAGAUGCCAUUUCACUAAACCCACCAGAAUUAGGAUCGAUCACUUGACUCAAAUUGGUAGAUAAAUUGAGAUCAAAUUUCACAGUACCUGGUGACACACUGAUAAAGUCACAAAAGUGCAGACGAACAAGAUGCCUAGCUUUCUUGCUCACGUUAAAACGCCAAGUUAUAUUUGGAAAAUUGGAUGCCCCGUUAUUAUCUACACUCGCUUCUUUGCAAGUUGUGUACACAGAAUCAGGGGCAAUUUCUUGGACAGUCAACCCUUGACUGGCCUGAUGAAGUUUACCACUAAACGGACGGUUUGCACCCGAACCCCCAAAAGCUAGAUAAUCAUCAUCUGGUACCCAAUUUCUCCACAGGGUAUCGUUAACUUCUAGACCUCCAACAUUGAUCCUAUAACGUGUCCUAAGAGCUCCAUCUUUGGUCCGUAAAGGAGGAGUUGCAGAGGCAUUAUCCAUGAAGAAAUUUUGUGGGAGAAGAAAGGCUUCAAUGGCAUUCACGAAAGCAAAAGGUGUCUCUUCAGCUGGUUUGAAGUAGAUGUUGAAAUUUCCUACAGCUAUCGUGAGAAAGAACUCCUUGAUCACUGGGAACUCAGUAGUACUGUUCGGGACUCUAAAAUCUGUUAAAAGUGAAAAAUUUGAAGCAGACACAUUGAACAAAGCAUCAGCAAGAUGAGUCCCUUUGAAGCUGAAUGGAAAGAAAUGAAGGCGGACAAGGUAGGAACCAUUUUGAGUGAUAUCAAGCAUAUACGGGGUUAAUUUCGUAUAGAUUCUGGCUGUAUGAUAUAGGAGUGAUAUGCCGGGUAAAGGGUUUUCAUUUUGGAUAGAUUUGCUUUUUCCUACAGAGAAGGAAGAGUUAGACUUCUCAUCACCAACAAAAGUCCGCGGGUAACCGUCAAGAUCAUCGACAUCGGUGCCUGAUCCGCAGUUCAUGAAGUACUUAACCGGAGGAUUGUAAGAUACUGAGGAUGAAAGAAGAGAAAGAAGAAGAAGAAGAAAGAGUGGAUGAAGAGAGAACUCCAUAGAAAUUGGAUGAGGAUAUUUGAUGCUUUUUCUUUGAAUGGAGGAAAGGCUGUCAGGAGCGGAGGAUAUGAGGGAGUACUGGCAAGUUUGAAAUUUCAGAGGAAGAAUUGUUGACUUGUAUCUGUUACUCUUUGUCAAGAGCAGUUUUUAUCGACAACAAAAAGAGAUUAACCAAUUGAAUGAAGGAGAAGAAAAGUCACAUUCUUAGAUUUUGGCCAAAUACAACUACUUGCAAGUGCUUCUAUUUCACUUGCAAGCACAAAGGCAUUAUCACAACCAAAAAGUAUAGAAUCUCAUUGACUGUUCUCAUUCCUUGCUUGACCCAGUUUGCGAGUGUCUUUCUAACUAUGCUUGAUCAAUUAAUUUGUCCCUGUCGUUAUAGAAUCUUUGAAAAACAAACUAAUAAAUAAAUGAAGAAACAAUAAUUGACCGUUCUCGUUGACUGUUCUCAUUCCUUGCUUCUUACGGUUUGGGACUAAUUUUCUAAUUUUGUUUGUUCAUGUUUUAAAACUAUAUUUAUUUUAUAAAAAUAUUAAAUUAAUAUUUUUAUUUUUAUAUUUUUUAAUUAUCUUCAUAUGGUAAAAUUAAAAAUAUAAAAUAUUAUUUUGAUAUAUUAUUUACUAAUAAAAAAUAUUUUGCACACCAAUGUCAUGGACAUUGUUCUAGUAAAAGACACCAAUAUCUAGGACAUAUCCAACAAAAUCAUGGUCAUUCGUUGUUCAAUGUUCUAGUAAUCUAUCCCCCACUCCAGCCUUUUCUUUUGCGAAUAUAUCUUCAAGACUUAUAAUUAAAACUUGUCCUGAUAAAAGAAACAUUUAUUGCUAAUAUUUUUCUAAUUAAAAAGAAUUAAACUGUGUGAAGAUUUACUCAAUAUAACAUGCUCUACUUAAUGAAUUCAAAACAACUUGAUUAAAGAAUGAAGAUGGGAAAAACUUAAUUUAAAAAUAGAACACGAUAAAACAAUCUCAUUCUACUAGGGUUAACUCACAAAAUAGAUGACCCGAGUCAUGCAAUUAGAAUAACAUUAUAAAAAACAAAUAAAAAUAUAUCAUGAAACUUGUCCCAAUAAAUUAUCAUAAUCAGUUGAUAUAUAUAUAUAUAUAUAUAUAUAUAUAUAUAUAUAUAUAUAUAUAUAUAUUGGUUAUUGGGUUAGGCAUGCUCCGUUCAUAAUAGAUGGGCAUGAUCCAAGUUAUUAUAGGAGUUAUUAAAGGAAGUAAUCGUUUUCUCUAAUUAUAUAUAAAUGAACAUAACUCAUAUGAAAAAGCAAGUUUUUCAUUUGUUGAAUAAUCAUUCUCUAUUUCUCUUCUCUCAUCUUGGAUUCUCUGUAUUAUUUUGACAAGAUUUAUAAAAACGUUCGUACUGUGGAAUAUUACUUUAAUUCUAAUAAUUAAAAGGACACUGAAGUAAUCGAUUCGGGGAUACGAAAGCGAAUUUUCACAAGUAAGUUUUCCUUUCUAAUCUAUAUUGGUAUCAGAGCCAUGAUUUUAAUAUUUUUUUUUAUUCAGUACAUUUGUUAUUAUAUAAAUGUUAGAUGUAAAUUCAUGUUAAAAGAAUUCUUUCAUUGAGUCUUGAAUUUACAAAAUUUUAUGAAGUAACUGAUUUAUGAUUUUAUCUUUUCUAUCAUUAAUUAGAAAAGGCUUUCUGUAUGGUAGUUGUAUAAUUAUUAUAUAACAAAAAAAGAAAAAAAAGAACAAUUACCAAUUAAUCGUGUGAAUUGGUAAUGGAAACUGCCAUUUGGUAGUUGAAAAAAAUACCUUGAAAGAACACAUCUUUAAGAGAUGUGUAACUGCCCUUUGGCAGUUAAAAUAAUAAUAAUAAGGCAAUUACUAUUAAUUUAUUGUUAAUAUAAAUUGUUUAAUUGUGGUGUUAAUUUAUUCAUUAUUAAAAUAAAUUCCUUAAUUUCUGUGUGAUUUUUUUUAACAUAUCUGAUGAUACAUGCCUUAAUUAAAUAUUAAGUAUAAUAUUUAUGUGCUUUUAAAAUAUUUUGUUGUAGUGGAUAAGCAAUAAUAUACUGAUCAUUUAUUGAGUUAUGCCUUUAAUUAUGUUCAAAAAAUUCAAGAGCAUAUUGAUUAUAUGUAUCAUUGAAUGAGUAGACUAACAUAUUUAGUUGGGCUACAAUUUACAUUACAAAAUGCUAAUGCUUCAGCAUAUAGAGGAAAUUUAAAUAAAAAAGAUUUAUUUUAUACCAAACAAGGAAAUGUUUAUCAUAUUCAAGACAAUAUUGGACUACCUCCAAUAUACUUAGAUGAGUUUACUAUUUGUAUAAACUUAAUUAUAAUGAAGUUUAAGGAAAAUUGCAUUGGAUUUAGGCCUUUUUAACAAAAAUAACUAGGUUAAGAAGUUGAAGAAGAAACAUCGCAUUGGCCUUUGAGGACCUUUUGAUUCUUAGGUUUGUUCGGUUGUAUAAUGGAUAUAACUUUGAAGGUUGUGUUUUGUAUGUAAUAAAGUAUAUUGAAGAAGAUGAUAAAUACAAGUGCUUAGAGAAUGAGAAUAUUUAUUUAUGCAAGGAAUGAAAAAAAUUAAAUUUUACCUAGUGUUUCAUGUGUUCUUUUAAACCCAUGAAACACACCAAUCUACAUGAUGAAUGGGGCAUAUAUAGAAAAACACUAUUUGACCUGGUUCAAAAGCAAUUAUUUGAGUUAAUUAACUCUAUUAGUUGAUGGUUACAUUGUUUAUUAAAAACAAUAUGGUGUUAAAUGGGUCAUACUCUAGUAUUGACAUGCCUUAAUAUUGUUCUAUAAACCUAACUAUGGUAAGAAGGGUCCCGUUAGCAUUUAGUGCUAAGUACCAACAACAUAAAGGGUAAGUAAACAAAUAAGGGUCGGCUAAUUCUAUCUGAGUGUACAAACAUUAGAUUCAAAUUUGUCCAUCUGCGAGACACCAUGAGCUCAAAUGGUGGUUUACAUGUAGUGAGCUAGUUAGUUAGACCAAUUUAAAGAUCGUGUCAAUUGGAUCAACUCGACUUCUUGAAGAUUAGGUUAGUCGGGUCAACUAAAAUUUCUAAAGAUCAUGUUAACUAAGUCAACUGGGUUUCUUGAAAAUUAUGCAUCCUUUCUGAUACUUGUUCUUGAAAAGGUAAUUUUUAGGAUGCAUUGUUUGAAUAAGAGUGGUGGCCUAUCAAGUUUUGAGCAGGUCAUCUUGAUUUGCUUAGCCUCGCAUUUAAUAUCUAAAAUUGAGCCCAUGAUUCCAACAAAUCUACAUGAAUUUCAGUACAUUAAGCAUCCAAUCAAACUUUAUUAUUAUUUAUAUUUUACAGAUAUGCAUCCAAGGGAUGAACAUUAGCAUCUAAAAUCUGUCAAGCUAUCCACCUCAAUCACUCUUUGUUGAACAGACACUUCCAACCCAGAGAAUUACUAAGGCAUUUGGUGUGAUCGACAAAGAUUGUGAACGUACUUGCUGUUAUUUAGAACUUCUCAUCUGACAACAUGAAUUAACUAGAGCAUAUACUCAAAUAACUUCAAAGUCCAUUCGUUGCUGGAGAAAUUUGAUAUAAUAAUGGGAGGCACUGAGAGCUCAUUCCUGACCCGUGGGGAUCAUCUGGAAUCGUUAAUUCUUAAUUGGGAUACAUUACAGUAUCUGUUGUAUCUGAGAAAUCAUCAACUGGGAACAUAUUAGAACUCAGGAUCUGCAUAACUGGGAGUGCUGAAUCUGAUGAAACACCUGUUGUGGUGGUGUCCUCAUGUGCCUCUCUAUGCACUGCAGUCUGUUGAAGCUGCAUUGCGUAUUCUAAAUCCCAGCACACAUCAAUCAUAUUAGGCCUGUCUGCUCCUUGUGGCUUCAAACACUUCUCAGCUAUUUCACCAAAUUUUCUUAGCGAAUUAGGGUUGAUGUGACCUGCCAGUAGAGGAUCGAUAAUCUUUUCAAGCUGCCCUUCCUUUUGCCAAAACAUCCCCCAUUCAGCUAAGUUUAUUUCUUCCUUCUGCUGUGAGUCUACAACAGGGAGUCGAGCACAAAGCACUUCAAGAAGAACCACACCAAAAGAAUACACAUCUGAUUUAUUGGUUAACUGAAAAGUUCUGAGAUAUUCAGGGUCAAGAUAACCAAAAGUACCUUUAAAACCCAUGCUUAUAUGGUCCGGAUCACGCAUUCCUUGUUGAGAAAGACCGAAAUCAGCUACUUUGGCCACGUAAUGUUCAUCAAGUAAGAUGUUUGUAGACUUAACAUCACGGUGAAAGAUUCCUCCAUCAGGACCAGUAUGGAGGUAAUGGAGACCUUUUGCUGAGCCAAUACAGAUUUCAAGCCUUUGUUUCCAAUUCAAUUCAGUUUUUGCAG
rnacentral:lncRNA from 1 species